UCCUAAAUGUUUGUCAAAUGCAAGACUUAAGGGAAGCAAUGGAGAAAAAUUAAAUGCCCUGGUCCAAAGCAAAGUUGACAUCACAGGAUAUUAGGAUGGGGUAAAAAUCAGACCAUCUGGGUCUGCCAUCAAUGCAGAAAUCCUCUUGGUUUUCCGAGCAACCCUUGUUGAGUAUCGGAUUUAAAACUGACACCACACCCUCAGGACAUCUCAUAUCGUGGAGACCAGCCUAUUAUAGUCUACUGUCCUCUAAACAAAUAUCUCCUAAAUACCCAUUUUAGGAAUCCCAAGGAAAACAAAACCAAACCAGUUCUGCUGUACUGUCUGUCUUCUCCUCCAGGGGCAGACCUGGUGGAGAGAUGACUUCUCAUCCCUGCUGAAAAGAGGCUUCGGGACUGCAGUUAACUUAAAAGUCUUUUCUUCAAAAUCUUCCUGCUUUAACCUGAAGCCUUUAGGUGGCAGCUUUUGAAAGCAGAUCUGGCCCUGAGACUCCGCUGGCUUCUUUGCCACCCCCGGGGAGGCAGCUAUCACAGACAGCCCGAGGUGGGAUUCCAGUUUCAGAGGGCUGGUGGGCAUUAACUGGCAGCAAAAAGGAGCGAGGGCACCUCAGGAUGUGGUGGACAAACUCCACCGAGACUCCACACAAUGCCUGCCUGUUGUUUACACCUCUGGGUACUUCCCUCCCUCUGCGUACGGGCAGGACCAGUGAUGUGCUUCUACCCAGUAGAAUACAGCAAAGGCGACUGGAUGCCACUCCUGCGAUUACAUUAUGUUAUGUAAGACUUGCUCUAGAGUCUUGCUGCCCUCCUGGGAAAGCCAAUAUGCUAAGGAACUGCAGAUGGCCUUGAGGAACUGAGGGUAGCCUCUAGGAGAUGAGGGAAGGCCUCCAGCCAAGACCCAACAGGCAGCAAGAAGCCAGGGGCCCGGAGACAGACAGCUGAGUGAAAACAAAGUCUGCCAGUAAUCAGACUUGGUGACCUUGGAGGUGUGGAGGCGACUUUGGAAGCUGAUUCUUCCCCAGUGAAGCUCCUCUAUGGGAAAACGGCCUGGCUGACACCUGACUGCAGCCUUGUGAGACCCUAAGCAGAGAAGCCAGCUAAGUCAGGCCCAGACUUCUAACCCACGGAAACUAUGAGACAACAGGGCACCUUUUCACUUUCGGUGCCUUCUGCCUGAAACACUUUUCCUCUGGCUCUUUACACUGCUGGAUCCUCCUCACCUGUGUAGCCUCGACUUCAAUGUCACCCGGGCAUUCCUUCUCGAGCCAGCCACCCUCCGUCCCUGACCUUCCUUCAUUUCCCGCGCACGCCAUGUCUGCUUGCUUCUCAACACGCAUCACCACCAAAGUUUUAGAGUUUUAAUCUUGCCAGUAACCAUCCCGUAAGCGUGUAAGGAUGGAAAUCAUCUCAUCAUAUUUGAAAUUCAAAGAGGAAGCUCAGAGAACACCACAUGACAAAAGCUGCUCCUGAAAAGGUAUAUUGCAAAAGAGAAGAUAUGACCAACUGAAAAAGCGUACAGCCACGGAGAAGGCGUGCGCCGCCUGCAAGUUUCCACGGUCAGCGGGGAGCACCAGUGGAUGAGGAAAGGCUCUGGGCGCCAGCACAGCCUUGUGAAAGGGGUCAGGAGACGGGGACUCCAAUCCGGCCGCGGCCAGUCAUGGAGGUGGGGCUUGCGAUCAUCCCUGGGGCCUCUCUGAACCUCAGUGUCUUCAUCUGAAACCGGGCAUGAUGAGCUUACCUACCUCACGGGUGGGAGAGAUGAACACCGAAAGUCUAAACUCAGCCUUGCGCCGGGCACACAGAAGGCCCACGGUAAGUGUGAGCUCUGCUGUGAUAACUCCGGUAACUGCUACGAUUUUAAUGCAAAAUAUGACUGUCAUCAAUGCUGUUACCAACACCACUAUUCAGAGAUGUAACCCCUCUGAUCUUCAAUUCCCUCAGCUGUAAGGGGCAGACAAUCGUGACCCCCUAGGACUGAGGAAUAAAGCAUGUGCCUGGUACAUCGUUGGUACUCAGUUCAUUGUCUGUCUCUACCUUUAUGGCAGGAAUUCUGGGAAGUAAAACUCACGAGCGCCAUGAACAUUCCCUUAUUUGCUAACUGCACCAUCGGUUAUUGAGAACCACAUCCCAAGAGGCGUUUGCCCACAGGAGGGAAGGGGGUGGGAGCCAGAGGCCGGGACCUCCAGCAGCUGCCCAGCACUCACAUCUGCCCACAGCUGCUGGCUGACGAGAGCUUUGGCACGGGUGGC